rnacentral:lncRNA from 1 species
GGAUGCAAGGUAGAUAGUCCAACAACUGGUAAAUCAAUUAUUUGGAGAUUGAUCCUCAAGACUCAACUUUUAAGUACCGGUGUCUUCCAAGUGCAAGCUUUGAUAAAGUUUUUCUCAGGAAAUUUUCUAUUACACGCUUGAAGAACCAGCCACCACCUAUAAGCAAACGAAAUGUCGGCAUCUCUCAGAGGAUAGAGCUCCGAUGUUCAUUCAGGCCCAUAUCAUCUUACAAGAGCCCAGGUGUGUGUUCAGAGAAGGCUUCAGCCUUAGUUAAAAGGGCCGCGUGAUGACGGUGGCCUGUGGCUCUCCAGACUGGGCCUCUAGUCCUCCACAAUCAUCCUCGUAGAAGAAGG